rnacentral:lncRNA from 1 species
UGAAAUGUAAAUGACACAAGAGUUAUCGUGGUUCACCCCAAUGUUUGGGCUACGUCCACACUGUAGUUGAUUCUGUUUCUCUGUAAGUGUAUGGAUACAAGUGUUUGGGGGAAGUCCCCGGAGAAAGAAGAGAAGGGAGAGGAGAGCCUCGGUGGUGUGAGGUCUCUCCUGAAUGUAAUGAUAGCUUCUCUUAGCCUUCUUAGGCUUGGCUCUUUUGCCUCCUCUAGAAUGAGGGGAGGAGUCCCCUUUUAUAGAAUAAGGGGCUCCUCCUCUUUUACAAAGUAUGGGCUUUAGUGUG